AUCUCUACGGGUCCUACAUAGGCUUCGGCACAGGAAUAUCUGUGUGCCUGGGGCAACGGGGUGGUGGUGAACUAUCACGGUAUUCAUAAUAGUAGUGGUGAACUAUCACGGUAUUCUUGAUCUGGAAAAAGGGAUUCCAAAGCAUUUUUGCUUUUUCCCACAGUAACACUCCAGCCCACUGAUUAUCAUGAAUCGGCAUCUUGUUUGAGCAUACCCACCUUCUCUUGCUUGCGUGCGUCUUUGCUAGUUGAGGCUUCUUCAACCUCAGAAACAAGUCAUCCGUGACAUUUCUUUCAAGCAUGCAAAUCACGUGACUCCAUCAAAUUUCACCGUUACUAAUUAUCAACAGUUUCCACAUCAACAAUUGAAGACAUACUUACGUACCAGUGCACUGCUACAUGAAGUUGAGAUGGCAAAAUAAGAAGGUUAUGCGAGAUGGAGUGAUGACUUGGAGGGGAAAAGUCUAGCAAUCAGAUGGCUCAGAUCUUUCAACGGCGUGUGCUAUUUUUCGUAGUAGGGACAUACAUGAUAUAGAUGGAAGAGUUCACCUGUCGGAUGAAAUGCUCAGGUCAAUUCGAUCUUAGUAAUCCGAUUAGUGUUUUGUUAAUGUUAUCAGAUGAGGCCAAAUCUGCUGUUUGUAAUGAACCAUGGAUUUUCCUGAUGUGCGCUUAGUUUGUGUACGUGAGGCCAUGGCUGCUUUAUCCAACCCAUUGAUCUAAUCGCACCUAUAAUGGAUCGACGACGUAAUUGCAAUUGUUCAGCUCUAGCCUUUCCAUUGUCGGCAUGCAAUGUAUGGUUGAGAAGAAAUGCACCGAAAGACCAAAGAUUCGAUGGUUAGGAUCUUCCUCUUUUGGAGAUCUGUUUUUUGCACAUGCUCCAUCAGAUCAAUGGCUUGGAUAAACAAAAACCAUGGGCCAUGCAUGUUACAUAUGCAUACAUAUAUA